rnacentral:tRNA from 1 species
GGGGCCUUAGCUCAGCUGGCAGAGCGCCUGCUUUGCAAGCAGGAAGUCAGGGGUUCGACUCCCCUAGGCUCCACCG